rnacentral:rRNA from 1 species
UGGGGAAUUUUGGACAAUGGGGGCAACCCUGAUCCAGCCAUGCCGCGUGAGUGAAGAAGGCCUUCGGGUUGUAAAGCUCUUUCGGCCGGGAAGAAAUCCUAUUCGAUAAUACCGGGUGGGGAUGACGGUACCGGCAUAAGAAGCACCGGCUAACUACGUGCCAGCAGCCGCGGUAAUACGUAGGGUGCGAGCGUUAAUCGGAAUUACUGGGCGUAAAGCGUGCGCAGGCGGUCUUUUAAGCCAGAUGUGAAAUCCCCGGGCUUAACCUGGGAACUGCGUUUGGAACUGGAAGGAUAGAGUACGGCAGAGGGGGGUGGAAUUCCACGUGUAGCAGUGAAAUGCGUAGAGAUGUGGAGGAACACCGAUGGCUAAGGCAGCCCCCUGGGCCUGUACUGACGCUCAGGCACGAAAGCGUGGGGAGCAAACAG